UACGGGGGGGGUAAGCGUUGUUCGGAAUUACUGGGCGUAAAGGGCUCGUAGGCGGCCAACUAAGUCAGACGUGAAAUCCCUCAGCUUAACUGGGGAACUGCGUCUGAUACUGGAUGGCUUGGAUUCGGGAGAGGAAUGCGGAAUUCCAGGUGUAGCGGUGAAAUGCGUAGAUAUCUGGAGGAACACCGGUGGCGAAGGCGGCUACCUGGACAGAAACUGACGCUGAGGCGCGAAAGCUAGGGGAGCAAACAGG
rnacentral:rRNA from 1 species